AAUGAACGCUGGCGGCGUGCUUAACACAUGCAAGUCGAACGAGGCGGAAGGGGGCAACUCCUUCCAGUCGAGUGGCGGACGGGUGAGUAACACGUGGGUAACCUGCCCGGAGGUGGGGAAUACCUCGGGGAAACUCGAGCUAAUUCCGCAUGACAUCUUCGGGACGAAAGUCCUGACGAUCAAAGCGGGGUCGCAAGAUCUCGCGCUACCGGAUGGGCCCGCGCCCGAUUAGCUAGUUGGUGAGGUAACGGCUCACCAAGGCUUCGAUCGGUAACCGGCCUGAGAGGGCGAUCGGUCACACCGGAACUGAGACACGGUCCGGACUCCUACGGGAGGCAGCAGUGGGGAAUCUUGCGCAAUGGGCGAAAGCCUGACGCAGCAACGCCGCGUGGAGGAUGAAGGCCCUUGGGUUGUAAACUCCUGUCGGCUGGGAAGAAAUCAUACGGUGCUAAUACCACCGUGUGUUGACUGUACCAGCAAAGGAAGCCCCGGCUAACUCUGUGCCAGCAGCCGCGGUAAUACAGAAGGGGCCAGCGUUAUUCGGAAUUAUUGGGCGUAAAGGGCGCGUAAGCGGCCAUGCGUGUCUUCCGUGAAAAUUCC
rnacentral:rRNA from 1 species